AGAGUUUGAUCCUGGCUCAGGACGAACGCUGGCGGCGUGCUUAAUACAUGCAAGUCGAGCGGGGAUUUAUCACAGAAGACUUCGGUCCGACGAGAUAACAUCCUAGCGGCGGACGGGUGAGUAACGCGUGGGUAACCUGCCUCUAAGAUUGGGAUAACAGCUCGAAAGGGCUGCUAAUACCGGAUGUGCUUUAACUUCCGCAUGGGAGAGAAAGUAAAGGAGUAAUCCGCUUAGAGAUGGACCUGCGUCCCAUUAGCUAGUUGGCAGGAUAACAGCCUACCAAGGCGACGAUGGGUAGCCGGCCUGAGAGGGUGAACGGCCACACUGGGACUGAGAUACGGCCCAGACUCCUACGGGGGGCAGCAGUAGGGAAUAUUCCGCAAUGGGCGAAAGCCUGACGGAGCGACGCCGCGUGAGUGAAGAAGGCCUUCGGGUUGUAAAGCUCUGUCAAGAGGGACGAAGGUUUGACGGUACCUCUAGAGGAAGCCCCGGCUAACUACGUGCCAGCAGCCGCGGUAAUACGUAGGGGGCAAGCGUUGUCCGGAAUUAUUGGGUGUAAAGGGCGCGCAGGCGGCCAUUUAAGUCAGGUGAUAAAGGCGACGGCUCAACCGUAGCAGUUCGCUUGAUACUGGAUGGCUUGAGUACAGGAGAGGAGAGUGGAAUUCCCAGUGUAGCGGUGAAAUGCGUAGAUAUUGGGAAGAACACCAGUGGCGAAGGCGGCUCUCUGGCCUGUAACUGACGCUGAGGCGCGAAAGCUGGGGGAGCGAACAGGAUUAGAUACCCUGGUAGUCCCAGCUGUAAACGAUGAGUGCUAGGUGUAGGAGGUAUCGACCCCUUCUGUGCCGUAGUUAACGCUUUAAGCACUCCACCUGGGGAGUACGACCGCAAGGUUGAAACUCAAAGGAAUUGACGGGGGCCCGCACAAGCGGUGGAGCAUGUGGUUUAAUUCGAUGCAGCGCGAAGAACCUUACCAGGGCUUGACAUCCCCUGAACAGUAUAGAGAUAUACUUUUUUGACUUUGUCAAACAGGGAGACAGGUGGUGCAUGGCUGUCGUCAGCUCGUGUCGUGAGAUGUUGGGUUAAGUCCCGCAACGAGCGCAACCCCUGCCUUUAGUUGCCAUCAUUAAGUUGGGCACUCUAGAGGGACUGCCGGUAACAAGCCGGAGGAAGGCGGGGAUGACGUCAAGUCGUCAUGCCCUUUAUGUCCUGGGCUACACACGUGCUACAAUGGCCGGUACAGAGGGGAGCUAAGGAGCAAUCUGGAGCGAAUCCCAAAAAACCGGUCUCAGUUCGGAUUGCAGGCUGCAAUUCGCCUGCAUGAAGUCGGAAUCGCUAGUAAUCACGGGUCAGCAUACCGUGGUGAAUACGUUCCCGGGCCUUGUACACACCGCCCGUCACACCACGAAAGUUUGUCACACCCGAAGUCGGUGACCUAGCCAUUGGAAGGAGCCGCCGAAGGUAGGGCAAAUGAUUGGGGUGAAGUCGUAACAAGGUA
rnacentral:rRNA from 1 species